AAUACUCCCGCACACAUUAAACCAGA
rnacentral:piRNA from 1 species